GCGUCCUUGGUGUUGCGGUAGCACACAAUCUACUUCUGGGUAGAAGAAUUUCAGGUUUAGGAUUGGGUCCGGGGUUCGAGUCCCCGAGGUCGCA